GCACGCUCUGUUUGUACAUCCAUUCACACCUGUGCACCCUAUGUAGUUCUGUGGUUUGGGGGACUCUGUCCUCUCGCCGUGGUUCUAUAUCUUUACACACACUCUGUAAUAAAGUCUCAUGGAAUGUAUGCAGCGUUUAACGCAAUACAAUACAACUUUCAGCAACGGAUCUCUUGGCUCUCGCAUCGAUGAAGAACGCAGCGAAAUGCGAUAAGUAAUGUGAAUUGCAGAAUUCAGUGAAUCAUCGAAUCUUUGAACGCACCUUGCGCCCUUUGGCUAUUCCGAAGGGCAUGCCUGUUUGAGUAUCAUGAACACCUCAACUCUCAUGGUUCGCCAUGAUGAGCUUGGACUUUGGGGGUCUUGCUGGCCUGCUGUCAGCUCCCUUCAAUGAAUCAGCUUUCCAGUGUUUGGUGGCAUCACGGGUGUGAUAAAUAUCUACGCUUGUGUUUCCUGCCAGGUAACCUUCAG
rnacentral:rRNA from 1 species